AGUGAAAUAACUGGGUCAAAUGGUCUAAGUUUUCUGAGGAAUAUCCAUACUGAUUUCCAGAGUGCUUGCACCAAUUUGCAGUCCCACCAGCAAU
rnacentral:pre_miRNA from 1 species